rnacentral:antisense_RNA from 2 species
CUUUAUGGUGGCUGUGCGUAGGGCGCUCUCGAGCGCGCCGGUCUCACGGGUCCCCGGUCUACUAACCUGCGCACAGCUACCACCUCA